UGGAUGUCCACAAGCAUUUACUGACGAUGCAUUCGUUUCACCUGUUGAUUUGUCGACCGAGGAAGCGGGUGGAAUGUUGAACAUGUCAUGUAAUGAUCUAAGUGUAAUCAUUCUAUGUAGCUUAAUGAAAUCAUUUGUAGUUAUUUUCUCAAGUAAAGAACAACUUAAAUCCGCUAUGGUCCCUGUCGUUAUCCCUGGUGGUUCCUUACGUCCAAAACGCUGUCCAAAACAAGAAACACACUCGUGUAAACGAUUACAACAUCAUUGUAAACGAUUACAACUCCUAUUUUUGUGAUACAAACUUCUUCUUCCAAAAACAUCACCUCAAACGAAACACUCACACUCCUACAAAAUGUGCAAUUAAAAAACAACUGAACUUGACAUGGAAAACACCCAAAAUGACCUGUGGUCCCC
rnacentral:lncRNA from 1 species